rnacentral:rRNA from 1 species
GACGAACGCUGGCGGCGUGCCUAAUACAUGCAAGUCGAGCGCAGGAAGUCAUCCGACCCCUUCGGGGGGACGUUGACGGAAUGAGCGGCGGACGGGUGAGUAACACGUAAAGAACCUGCCCUCAGGUCUGGGAUAACCACGAGAAAUCGGGGCUAAUACCGGAUGGGUCAUCGGACCGCAUGGUCCGAGGAUGAAAGGCGCUCCGGCGUCGCCUGGGGAUGGCUUUGCGGUGCAUUAGCUAGUUGGUGGGGUAAUGGCCCACCAAGGCGACGAUGCAUAGCCGACCUGAGAGGGUGAUCGGCCACACUGGGACUGAGACACGGCCCAGACUCCUACGGGAGGCAGCAGUAGGGAAUCUUCCACAAUGGGCGAAAGUCUGAUGGAGCAACGCCGCGUGAACGAUGAAGGCCCUCGGGUCGUAAAGUUCUGUUGUAAGGGAAGAACAAGUGCCGCAGGCAAUGGCGGCACCUUGACGGUACCUUGCGAGAAGGCCACGGCUAACUACGUG